UACGAAGGGGGCUAGCGUUGUUCGGAAUCACUGGGCGUAAAGCGCACGUAGGCGGUUCUUUAAGUCAGGGGUGAAAUCCCGAGGCUCAACCUCGGAACUGCCUUUGAUACUGGGGAUCUCGAGUCCGGGAGAGGUGAGUGGAACUGCGAGUGUAGAGGUGAAAUUCGUAGAUAUUCGCAAGAACACCAGUGGCGAAGGCGGCUCACUGGCCCGGGAUUGACACUGAGGCGCGAAAGCCAGGGGAGCAAACGGG
rnacentral:rRNA from 1 species